GACGAACGCUGGCGGCGUGCUUAACACAUGCAAGUCGAGCGGGAUCCAACCGGUGGCAACACCGGGGAAGAUCUAGCGGCGAACGGGUGAGUAACACGUGAGCAACCUGCCCCGAAGACUGGGAUAACACCGGGAAACCGGUGCUAAUACCGGAUGUCGUCAUUAGGCCGCAUGACCUGAUGAUGAAAGGAUUCAUCGCUUCGGGAGGGGCUCGCGGGCUAUCAGCUUGNGGUGGGGUAACGGCCUACCAAGGCGACGACGGCUAGCUGGUCUGAGAGGACGACCAGCCACACUGGGACUGAGACACGGCCCAGACUCCUACGGGAGGCAGCAGUGGGGAAUCUUGCGCAAUGGGCGAAAACCUGACGCAGCGACGCCGCGUGAGGAUGACGGCU
rnacentral:rRNA from 1 species